AAGGAAUGUUCUAGAGGGGCCCUUUUCCACUAUAUUCGCGAGGGGAGGGAUAGGGGGAAAGGGGCCAGGCCUAUCAUAUAAAUAGGGUUGUCCCGGAGAGCAAGCGUAGGCAACCAAAUACAAAAAGGCUACAAAAGUAGAGCUGCCAUGCUCUUGAAUUCGCUCGCAUUCUCUCAAAGAUUGAUCAUUGAAAAAAGAAGCCGUACAAAAACUUAAGGAAUCUUUAGAUUUGGCGCUUGCCCCUUCGCGUCCACAAGGAAACUGUGGAUGACACAUCGACUUCC
rnacentral:lncRNA from 1 species